rnacentral:rRNA from 1 species
CGGAACUAACAGAUUUACUUCGGUAAUGACGUUAGGAAAGCGAGCGGCGGAUGGGUGAGUAACACGUGGGGAACCUGCCCCAUAGUCUGGGAUACCACUUGGAAACAGGUGCUAAUACCGGAUAAGAAAGCAGAUCGCAUGAUCAGCUUUUAAAAGGCGGCGUAAGCUGUCGCUAUGGGAUGCCCCGCGGUGCAUUAGCUAGUUGGUAAGGUAAAGGCUUACCAAGGCGAUGAUGCAUAGCCGAGUUGAGAGACUGAUCGGCCACAUUGGGACUGAGACACGGCCCAAACUCCUACGGGAGGCAGCAGUAGGGAAUCUUCCACAAUGGACGCAAGUCUGAUGGAGCAACGCCGCGUGAGUGAAGAAGGUUUUCGGAUCGUAAAGCUCUGUUGUUGGUGAAGAAGGAU